UCCUGGUGGCUCAGAUGGUAAAGAGUCUGCCUGCAAUGCAGGAGACCCAGGUUCAAUCCCUGGGUUGGGAA
rnacentral:tRNA from 1 species